rnacentral:rRNA from 1 species
CCAGACUCCUACGGGAGGCAGCAGUGGGGGAUAUUGCGCAAUGGGGGGAACCCUGAUGCAGCGACGCCGCGUGGGUGAAGGAGCACCUCGGUGCGUAAAGCCCUAUCGGCAGGGAAGAAACAGACGGUACCUGACUAAGAAGCCCCGGCUAACUACGUGCCAGCAGCCGCGGUAAUACGUAGGGGGCAAGCGUUAUCCGGAUUCACUGGGUGUAAAGGGAGCGCAGACGGCGAUGCAAGCCAGGAGUGAAAGCCCGGGGCCCAACCCCGGGACUGCUCUUGGAACUGCGUGGCUGGAGUGCAGGAGGGGCAGGCGGAAUUCCUGGUGUAGCGGUGAAAUGCGUAGAUAUUAGGAAGAACACCGGUGGCGAAGGCGACUUUCUGGACUGUAACUGACGUUGAGGCACGAAAGUGUGGGGAGCAAACAGGAUUAGAUACCCCUGUAAC